GGGCGAGGGCGGAGAGCAGGUGCCAUUUUAAGUGCGGGCAGGGCGCCCCUUCCCUCAACCCGCCUGCUCUGGCCAUAGGGGUGCCCAUUAGAUCUCCUGUAAGCGUUGGCUGUUCGCGGUGGGGUCAUUCCGUGUCUUUGGCGCUCUCUUCUCCCGGUCUCCGGGAGGGCCGGGGGACGCUGUUGUUUGCCUGCCGAGGCCGUCGGGGCUUUUCCCAAGCACGUCCAAGAUGGCGACGGGCGGGCAGCUCCUUCUGUGCGCGGUGCCCCGCGGCCUCGCUGGAGAGACAGGGGCGUUUCUCUCCGGCGUGCCUGUCCUCCCGAGUCUUCCCAGCUGGAGGCCCGGAGUGUUGUGCGGCAGGGGUAUCGAUAGUUUCACCCUGAGGGAAUCACUUUUACCUCAGCUGCUGCGCCGGGCCGGUCCUGUCGGCACAGCAGCCUUGGCCGCAGCAGAAGCGGAGCACUGGGAGGUUUUGCGUGCCUUAGGCGCGGUGAGACCCUGUGCUGGAGCUGGGGUGUGACACCAUGCGUCUGCCACUCUUGAGGGAAGACGUGUACCUACCUAUCCCUGUUUGGGUGACACGCGUGGCCGUAAGGCCUUUGGGAACGCCUGGAAUGAAUUUGCAGGGGAGGAGAAGGCGCAUUGUUAAAUAUAUGAGGUUGGUGUCUGUCAAGUGGAGGUUACACUGGGAAAUGGGUCCGUGGAACCAGUGCAGACAGAAACUCUGAUACCAGGUGUGCCAUGCGGAAAUGCUCCCAGUAUGUGAACUGGUUAUCGACUUUUCAGGACUGAAAGUCUCAAAGUCAUCUUGAAUAAAGUAUUGAAAGCAAAAGUCUGUAGUACAGUCUAUUCGCUGAAGAACUGCUUUAGCUUUUUAGAAUAAAAACAUGUAUGCAUCCA